AAGCACUGUGGUAAACUGGGCCAUUUCUUGCAGCCCAGUUACGAGCACGGCCAAUCCCGAUCUGUCUUUCUGCUCGUUCCACACAGAAGAGGAACGAAUCGGUCGGCGGCUCGACGCCUCGUCUCCUAAGUCCUGCCAUCUUCCCCUCCCUCGCCUCAGUCGCCGCCAACCACCUCGUCUCCCUCACGCCGCCUAGCAGCCGGCUUCCGCCCCUAUCCUCUCCCCCAAAUCCGUCGACCUCGUCGCCCACCAUCUCCUCCUCACCUCAUCAGAAGAGAAGAGGGAGAUCGAUCAGAGAUGACCGGUGGCGCGGCCUUCCCGAUUGUGGAGCGAAUCCUACGUGCGUGCAACCAUCUCCCGUCGCCACCCUCCCUUUCAAGGUCCAUCUCGCUGCGCCUCCAACUGCCCAUCUCCGAGACCCUCCCUGACCAUCUAACCAACCGAGGGUGCAGGCCAGGUCGCUAACCUCACGGAAAAAAGUGCACAGUGGCAGAGGGGAGGUCGACGGAAUCGGUUGAAGGUCAUGGCUGGAUCCAGCCGCUCCGAUUCAGGCCCCGGUCACUAGCAGAAGGAGGUCAACGGGAUCGAUCGAAGGUCAUGGCUCGAUCCAAUGGCGCGCGAUGCGGGGAUCGCCCGGUUGAAGGUCGCGAUCAGUUUGCGAGGGAAAUCCAGCCAAGCAACGACUGCGGCGGCGGCGGCGGCAACUGCUCUCUCGCGCUGCGCUACGGCUGGCAGCCUCAUGUUCCACAUCAAGCAAGAUCUCUUCGUGGGAAGCCUCCUCUCCUUCCUGCAUAGUCAAAUAUGGGACCGGUUCCAGAGUCGAGUCUGGUGGCCACAAACAUCCAGCGAUUGCGCGGGCGAGCGGUUGCUCAUGUACAGCACAGCUUAUUUUCGAAUAGACCAGAAAAAAGGGCUAGCCUAUAAUUCGGCCCUAGCAAUUUCAUUUAAAAUUUGUUCCAAAAGUAUGUUGUGAAGUGGAACACUUGAUUCUUGGGAUAUUUCUUCUCUGAGGAUUUAAGGUACCAGAUGUAUACCUCACUCCGCUUCUGCUAUUAUUUCUGUCAUUUGUUCGGAAGUUCGGUCAGCAGGUGCAAUAGAAUUCACAUGCAAUGGUUAUAUCUUGAUCUUACUUUUUCGCAUACUUCUCUGUUUACAUGGAUGGAUGAAAAAUCUAUAUGAAAGCAAUAGUCUUUGGCUUGUCUGAAUUUGAAAAGCCAUGUCAUUUUUAAGAGUUAGUCAGAGCGCCAUCAGGAUUGGCGUGAAGGGCCGACUCAUUACCAGGAACUCGGCCUCCCUCAUGGGUCUAAACGAUUUCUUUCUUCUUUUGAGGUUCGGUUUUAAUCUGGAUUUUCUUGGCGGCGUUUCUUGGUUGUUGCAGGACGAUGAGAGACUAAGGUGGAGAUGGUGAACGAUGGGAUGCAAGAGCUCUUCUUGGAAUUUCAGGGGUCUACUGUAAGGAUUUCUCCAUACUGCAUUUGUUGUAUCGUAAGCACAGCAAGCCCCCUCUAAGAAUCUUCAUCAUUAUUACACAAAAAUAGGCAAGGAGCUAACACAAGGGGAGUCAUGAUGUUCCAAAUAGUAUGUUUCUGAUCUCUCUUUGACGUUCAACCAGGGUAGCACAAACAAGAGAAGACUAUAAACAAUGCAAGGUUUUGCACUCUUGAUCUAUGUUAUCUCUUAUAGAUCGAAUUCACUGUAGGUCACUACAAGGUUUCUGGGACUAUUGUACCUAAACAUUUAUUUCUUAAUACUUUGAAAAACUCAAAUCUAAAUAUGUUGACACCACCACUAUGUCUUUGUUUGUUUAUAAUCUGUGUAUUUCUAAUCGUCCUACCCUCUCAUCUUUUACCUGGUACCCUUCUCAUUUUCAGUGGAAAUUACAAGUAUUAUCAGUAUUCAUUUUCUCCCUCAUCACUUGUACUAUCAUAUGGAAGUUGCUUAACAUGUCAGUAUCUUUUUGCAUAAAGGACUGCAUAUACUGGAUACUUGAGAGGUGUUUUGAUCAGACCUAUAUUGUCAUAACUGACCAUCAGUGAGUCUACAUAAUGUUUUUAAAGGUUUUCCAGUCUUCAUGCUUUGUGAGUUUACAACACCACUCUAGAUCAACUUGAUUGGUCCUUUAAUUACAUAGCAUUAUUGUAGAUCAACCGGGUUGUCUCCUCAGUUACAUAUUGUGUUGAAAAAUAAAGUGGAGACACGAACAAGUUAUAAGAAAGAACAAUGCUAAGCAUUGCAAACAAGUGUACACAAAUUACAUCAUAUACCUAACAACUAAGAUCCAAAAUAGACGGGCGCAGCAACGCGCGCCAUCAACGAUCUAGUUCACAGUAAUAGCUGUGAAAGUAGAAGAAUGAUACCAUAACACAUUAGUCAAAUGCUAUAAGAAGACAUGAAAAUUGUACUUUACUGAAGAUUGUCCCUCUUUCCUGCCUAAAGGUAGGUCCUGGGCUCCUGAUUAAAAGAUGCAAUUAGAAAAUGAGUAUAUAUUUUCUUUGCAGAUUCAAUAUCAUCACUUACUUACGAAGCCUUUUAUCCCAAACAAGUUGGGGUAGGCUAGAUAUGAAACCCUUUCACGAGGACUUCCCAGGAGGUCACCCAUCCUAGUACUACUCUCGCCCAAAUGGGUUACAUACCCAAAAGACUGGCUAGUUUUUACGUUGGCUCGCCAAGCCUAUCACAACCCUUAGAUAUGAAACCCUUUCACGAGGACUUCCUAGGAGGUCACCCAUCCUAGUACUAUUCUCGCUCAAAUGGGUUUCAUACCUAUGGGACUGGCUAGUUUUUACGUUGGCUCGCCAAGCCUAUCACAACCCUCCUCCUUUACCCGGGCUUGGGACCGGCUAUGCCUAGAAGACAUAGGCGGAGUUGCAGAUUCAAUAUCAUCAUCGAUGGUAUAUUAAAUUAGACUAUAUCGAACACACAAAUAAAGCAUCCAUGCAAUCUAUUUUAUAAUAUUGAUUGUGUUUCUGGUGAACCAACGAUCUCAAUUUCUAGACACCCUGGUGUUUUGCAUUUUGCAAAAUCGGAAGAAGAGAGCGAAACAGAGCACCUUUGUCAUCGUCGACAUUGACGUUCACACGAAGCUUCUGAUGGUGAACCAACGAUCUAAAUUUGUAGACACCCUAGUGUUUUGCAUUUUGCGAAAUCAAAAGAAGGGAUCGAAGCAGAGAACAUUUGUCUUCAUCGGCAUUGACAUUCACGCGAAGCUUCUUGACAAGGUAAACGCACACGUGCAUCAUAAGAAACAUGUACACUGCUGCAUGAAGGAAAUUCAGAAUGCAAAAAAAAAUUAGUGCAUGGAUAUUACUCUAACAAUGCGCAUGAAGAAAAACAAAUCUAAGUCAGUCGUGUACAAACCUUUGACCAGCAGAACAAAACCUAAUCUGGAGGAACUAAUCAGAAGAUCAAAAGCACGUUCCGUCCAUGAAAGGUGGAGA